rnacentral:rRNA from 1 species
AACGAACGCUGGCGGCAGGCCUAACACAUGCAAGUCGAGCGAAGCCUUCGGGCUUAGCGGCGGACGGGUGAGUAACGCGUGGGAACGUGCCCUUUGGUACGGAAUAGCCCCGGGAAACUGGGAGUAAUACCGUAUGUGGUCGAGAGACGAAAGAUUUAUCGCCAAAGGAUCGGCCCGCGUUGGAUUAGGUAGUUGGUGGGGUAAUGGCCUACCAAGCCGACGAUCCAUAGCUGGUUUGAGAGGAUGAUCAGCCACACUGGGACUGAGACACGGCCCAGACUCCUACGGGAGGCAGCAGUGGGGAAUCUUAGACAAUGGGGGAAACCCUGAUCUAGCCAUGCCGCGUGAUCGAUGAAGGCCUUAGGGUUGUAAAGAUCUUUCAGUGGGGAAGAUAAUGACUGUACCCACAGAAGAAGCCCCGGCUAACUCCGUGCCAGCCGCCGCCGUAAGAC